rnacentral:rRNA from 1 species
GACGUAGGGCGCGAGCGUUUGUCCGGAUUUAUUGGGCGUAAAGAGCUCGUAGGCGGCUUGUCGCGUCGAAUGUGAAAACUCGGGGCUCAACUCCGAGCUUGCAUUCGAUACGGGCAGGCUAGAGUUCGGUAGGGGAGACUGGAAUUCCUGGUGUAGCGGUGAAAUGCGCAGAUAUCAGGAGGAACACCGAUGGCGAAGGCAGGUCUCUGGGCAUUAACUGACGCUGAGGAGCGAAAGCAUGGGGAGCGAACAGG